rnacentral:rRNA from 1 species
UACAGAGGGUGCGAGCGUUGUUCGGAAUUACUGGGCGUAAAGGGCGCGUAGGCGGCCCGCUAAGUCGAACGUGAAAUCCCCAGGCUCAACCUGGGAACUGCGUCCGAUACUGGCAGGCUUGAAUCCGGGAGAGGGAUGUGGAAUUCCAGGUGUAGCGGUGAAAUGCGUAGAUAUCUGGAGGAACACCGGUGGCGAAGGCGGCAUCCUGGACCGGUAUUGACGCUGAGGCGCGAAAGCUAGGGGAGCAAACGGG